GCUGGGUGGAUUAGUGGCGAACGGGUGAGUAACACGUGAGUAACCUGCCCUUAACUCUGGGAUAAGCCUGGGAAACUAGGUCUAAUACCGGAUAGGAGCGCCUACCGCAUGGUGGGUGUUGGAAAGAUUUAUCGGUUUUGGAUGGACUCGCGGCCUAUCAGCUUGUUGGUGAGGUAAUGGCUCACCAAGGCGACGACGGGUAGCCGGCCUGAGAGGGUGACCGGCCACACUGGGACUGAGACACGGCCCAGACUCCUACGGGAGGCAGCAGUGGGGAAUAUUGCACAAUGGGCGAAAGCCUGAUGCAGCGACGCCGCGUGAGGGAUGACGGCCUUCGGGUUGUAAACCUCUUUCAGUAGGGAAGAAGCGAAAGUGACGGUACCUGCAGAAGAAGCACCGGCUAACUACGUGCCAGCAGCCGCGGUAAUACGUAGGGUGCGAGCGUUAUCCGGAAUUAUUGGGCGUAAAGAGCUCGUAGGCGGUUUGUCGCGUCUGUCGUGAAAGUCCGGGGCUUAACCCCGGAUCUGCGGUGGGUACGGGCAGACUAGAGUGCAGUAGGGGAGACUGGAAUUCCUGGUGUAGCGGUGGAAUGCGCAGAUAUCAGGAGGAACACCGAUGGCGAAGGCAGGUCUCUGGGCUGUAACUGACGCUGAGGAGCGAAAGCAUGGGGAGCGAACAGGAUUAGAUACCCUGGUAGUCCAUGCCGUAAACGUUGGGCACUAGGUGUGGGGACCAUUCCACGGUUUCCGCGCCGCAGCUAACGCAUUAAGUGCCCCGCCUGGGGAGUACGGCCGCAAGGCUAAAACUCAAAGGAAUUGACGGGGGCCCGCACAAGCGGCGGAGCAUGCGGAUUAAUUCGAUGCAACGCGAAGAACCUUACCAAGGCUUGACAUGUUCUCGAUCGCCGUAGAGAUACGGUUUCCCCUUUGGGGCGGGUUCACAGGUGGUGCAUGGUUGUCGUCAGCUCGUGUCGUGAGAUGUUGGGUUAAGUCCCGCAACGAGCGCAACCCUCGUUCCAUGUUGCCAGCACGUAAUGGUGGGGACUCAUGGGAGACUGCCGGGGUCAACUCGGAGGAAGGUGAGGACGACGUCAAAUCAUCAUGCCCCUUAUGUCUUGGGCUUCACGCAUGCUACAAUGGCCGGUACAAUGGGUUGCGAUACUGUGAGGUGGAGCUAAUCCCAAAAAGCCGGUCUCAGUUCGGAUUGGGGUUU
rnacentral:rRNA from 1 species